AACGAACGCUGGCGGCAGGCCUAACACAUGCAAGUCGAACGUGAAGCCACCUUCGGGUGGUGGAAAGUGGCAGACGGGUGAGUAACGCGUGGGAACGUACCUUUCGGUUCGGGAUAACCCAGGGAAACUUGGGCUAAUACCGGAUACGCCCUCCGGGGGAAAGAUUCAUUUCCGAAAGAUCGGCCCGCGUCGGAUUAGCUAGUUGGUAGGGUAAUGGCCUACCAAGGGUACGAUGGGUAGGUGGUCUGAGAGGAUGAUCAGCCACACUGGAACUGAGACACGGUCCAGACUCCUACGGGCGGCAGCAGUGGGGAAUAUUGCGCAAUGGGCGAAAGCCUUACGCAGCCACGCCGCGUGAGUGAUGAAGGCCCUCGGGUUGUAAAGCUCUGUCGGGAGGGACGCAGGGGAAACCCUGACGGUACCUCGCAAGAAAGCACCGGCUAACUCUGUGCCAGCAGCCGCAGUAACAC
rnacentral:rRNA from 1 species